GGGCAUCUUCGAUGGCUGCGAAUGCUGCUCUGCCUGUGCCCAGCCAGCAAGGCGUUCCCAGGGAAUUCUAUUCUAUUCCAUAUGUCAAGCACAUUUCAUAUUUUCAAUUGAGCAGCAUUACCAAAAAUUUGUAACUUGUUUCUCUCAAUCGAAACAGACGCAAAGAUAACACACUGAUACACGUUUUGUCACACAGCUGACCUAGGAAUGGAUCCGGCCUAAAGGCCCGAGGCCACUUGGCUACUGUGGUCCCGCAUGCACAGCCCCAGCUCCAUCUCCAGCCGAGGCCCCAUCUCCUCCAGCCAUGAAGCAGCAGCUCUUUCGAAUGCUACGCUCAAAUUACAAAUUAUAAUCGCAGCCACACAGCCACAGGCAAAGGCGAAAGAGACGUGCUAUAAAAAUCAGAGAUACGGCAACAGAAACUCACCACGGUCGCAGUCGGUAGAACGGGUAGACCAAAGAAGUAAGGGGGAAGGCAAGGGGAACUCGAAACCAGACGGCAGGCAAAUCGAAAGACAACAACUCUGCGCACGCAUGUCACUUAACCCGGGCUUUGACGCUGUGGUUGGGGCCAGGCCCUUGGGCAGAGGCCUGUGUGUUGGUGGUGGUGCUGCAGCUCUGAGCGCUGCUCGCGGUGGUUGCCGACGUCGUCGUCGUCGUCUUUGUCUGCUAAGCUGCCUCGUUUAAACUCCGCCUUUUAUUUUCUAAUUGAUUUAAAGUGUGUUAACUUCC